AUUAAAACAGACAAGGGUAUAUGGUGGAUGCCUAGGUAAUAUGAGCCGAUGAAGGACGCGACAGCCUGCGAUAAGCCUCGGGGAGCUGGCAAAUAAGCUUUGAUCCGUGGAUGUCCGAAUGGGGAAACCCACAUACUGGAAGAGUAUGUGCUGCUAUGCCGUGGGGUAUAGUAUGCGGGAACCGUGCGAAGUGAAACAUCUCAGUAGCACGUGGAAAAUAAAUCAAUGCGCCGUAAGGCGUACGAGAUUCCGUUAGUAGUGGCGAGCGAACGCGGAUGUAUAUAAUUAGUGAAUAGUGAAAAGUGAUUAGAGAUAAGGAUAAGGCAGUUUGUCUUCUCCUAUUCUCUUUUCGCUAAGCACUAUUUGCUAAAUUAUUAGCCUAAACCUAAUUAGUGUUGUUGAUAUCGCAAGAUUGAAACUUAAAGAUUACAGUCGUUGCUAGUUAGGUGUUAUAAGCAGGAGUCAUUGCCGCUCUGUAAAGCGGCAGGGAAUUAUGUUUGUUGUUUAGCAGAACACGCCUGGAACGGCGGACCAAAGAGGGUGAUAGUCCCGUAUCGCGAAAAACCAUGCAAUUUCCUGACUUUUUCUUGAGUACGACCAGACACGAGAAAUCUGGUCGGAAAUCGGGUCGACUAAGAUCCAAGGCUAAAUACUCAUAUUAACCGAUAGUGAACAAGUACCGUGAGGGAAAGGUGAAAAGCACCCCGGAAGGGGAAUGAAAUAGUAUCUGAAACCAUAUACUUACAAGGAGUGGAAGACCUUACUCCGACGUUACGUCGGAGUGGUUAACCGCGUGCCUAUUGAAGAAUGAUCCAACGAGUUAAUCUUAUGCGGCUUGAUUAAGUCUUAUCAAAGACGAAAUCGUAGUGAAAGCGAGGAUGAAUAGUCCGUAAAAGGAUAAGAGAUUAGUGAAAAGAGAUAAGAGAUAAGGAGAGGCGCGCAAGUGUUUUAUCCUAUUCUCUAUUCGCUAAGCACUAAUCUCUAUUCCUUUAUGUCGCAUGAGUUAGACCCGAAACCCGCGUGAGCUACGCAUGGCCAGGAUGAACGUGGUGUAACAACCACGGGAGGUCCGGACCCACUAUUGCUGCAAAAAUAGGGGAUGAGCUGUGCGUAGGGGAGAAAUUCCAAUCGAACCGGGUGAUAGCUGGUUCUCCUCGAAAUAGCUUUAGGGCUAGCGUCGAGAGUUCCCUUGAGAGGUAGAGCACUGAAUGGAAACCUGCUGCGCAAGCGGUAGGCUCCAACCAAACUCCGAAUUCUCAAGGUCAAGAUCUCGGCAGUCAGUCCGUGAGGGCUAAGCUUCACUGGACAAAUGGAGAAGAAUCCACACCACCGUCUAAGGCCCCCAAAUUCUAGCUAUAGUGCAAAGGAUGUGGGGUUGCUCAUACAACCAGGAGGUUGGCUUAGAAGCAGCCAUCCUUUAAAGAAAGCGUAACAGCUCACUGGUCAAGCGAUCCUGCGCCGACAAUAUAUAGGGGCUAAGCUAGGUGCCGAAGACGUGGAUCUCCGACGUUACGUCGGAGGUGGUAGAGGAGUGUUGUACAUGGGUUGAAGCGGUAUGCGUAAGCGGCCGUGGACUUUGUACAAGUAAGAAUGUUGGAAUAAGUAAUAUAUAUAGAGGUGAGAAUCCUCUUCGCCGAAUAUCCAAGGUUUCCAGGGCAACGAUCGUCGUCCCUGGGUUAGUCGAUCCUAAGAGUGGGCCUCAAGAGGUCCAUCCGAUGGAAAAUAUGGUUGAUAUUCCAUAACCACUGUAACAUUAUCUUAGGCGGAACGCAUCAUGGUAAAACUAGCGUUAUCUGACUAUUAGCGUUGUUGUAUUUGUAGGAUGGAACUUCAGGCAAAUCCGGAGUUCCGACAUCUGUUAUUGCAUACCUCGCAAGAGAUUGUAGUAACAGGUAAAAGUUCGAGAAUACAAAGAAACCUGGCAACGGGGAUUAGUUUGAACCAAGGUGUCAAGAAAAGCGUCGAAGUCAGGUGUUAUAGUGCUCGUACCGUAAACCGACACAGGUGGAUGGGGAGAGAAUCCCAAGGCGUCCGGAACAAUGUUCGUUAAGGAACUCGGCAAAAAAGCAGGUGUACCUUAGGUAUAUACCUUGACCUUUUUUUGAGAUUAUAUCAAAGAAAAAAGGCCCGCAGCGAAAGACCUCUCCCGACUGUUUACCAAAAACUUAGGUCCGUGCUAAAGCGCAAGCUGAUGUAUACGGGCUGAUGCCUGGCCAGUGUCAGAAGGUUAAACCCCUCGUCGCAAGAUUGGGGGCCAAGCCCUGAUGAACGCCGGCAGUAACUAUAACUGUCCUAUGGUAGCGAAAUUCCUUGUCGCGUAAGUUGCGACCCGCACGAAUGGCAUAACGAGUAGAGGACUGUCUUAACGAACAUUCCGAUGAAUUUACAAUGGCGGUAAAGAUGCCGUCUACCCGCAGCAAGACGGAAAGACCCUAUGAAGCUUUACUAUAGCGUGUCAUUGCAAUUUUAUUUUUAUUGUUUAGCCUAGGUGGGAGACUUUGAAACCCCGACGCCAGUCGGGGUGGAGUCAACAGGUGAAAUACCACCCUGUAGAGAUGAAAUUGCUAACCAAUGCCUAACCUGCAUUGGGACAGUGGCUCGUGGGUAGUUUAACUGGGGCGGUUGCCUCCUAAAUGGUAACGGAGGCGUUUAUUAAGGUAGGCUAGGUAUGGAUGGAAAUCAUACCGGUAGUGCAAACGCAUAAGCCUGCUUGACUGCAAGGGCGGCGACCCGCGCAGGCACGAAAGUGGAAGUUAGUGAUCCGAUGCGUUCGAGUGGAAGACGCAAAGCCCAACGGAUAAAAGUUACUCUAGGGAUAACAGGCUGAUCCUCUCCAAGCGUCCACAGCGACGAGAGGGUUUGGCACCUGAACAUCAUUCGGGGUGCUAUGGGAGUGAUCCCAUACCAUGUGUCUUUCAUCCGUCUCUCCAUGUUCAUAGCAUGGAGGAUAUAAUUUUGAAAGAAAAUAAAUUCGGCUUAUAACGGUGGAACCGUAGUUAACUAUGUGAGAACUCUUUGUUCUAGUUAACCGGUAAUACCGUGGGAAGUCUGCGCGAAGCGCAACAAUAACUAUAAUGAAUAACAAUAACCACUGCAGUUGCAGAAGUUAUAGUUAUAAUUAUUGUUAUAGUUUGCCCCCCGCAUGACCCCGUAACGACUGACCCGAAAGGGGAGGUUUAAAUUAGUGAUUAGUGAAUAGUGCUUAGUGAUUAGUACUGCAGGAAUGCAGUUACUAUCCACUACCCACUAACACUGCCCACUAGUUUAGACAACACGCCGACUCUUGUCACAAAAAAGCAGACUACGGAGACUAAUCCUAAUGUCGCUGGCAAGAAGAAGAUAUAGUCUACACCAUACGAAAGUAUGGAAUUAGGUACGAUGUCGGCUCAUCACAUCCUGGGGGUGUAGAAGCUCCCAAGGGUUAGGCUGUUCGCCUAUUAAAGUGGUACGCGAGCUGGGUUCAAAACGUCGUGAGACAGUUUGGUCCUUAUCUGCUGUGGGUGUACGAAACUUGAGUAGUCGCAUCUCUAGUACGAGAGGACCGAGAUGCAUAGACCUCUGGUGUACCCGUUGUCCUGUCAAGGGCAUGGCGGGGUAGCUAGGUCUAGUUAGGAUAAGCGCUGAAGGCAUAUAAGCGUGAAGCCGUCUACAAAACUAGGUUUCGUUGUUCUAAUUUAUUAGAACGAAAGGUUCGGGGAAGACUACCCCGUACAACAAUCGAAAGUUUUUUGGCGAAGUAGCAAUAUGGAUCCAAAAGAAAAUAGAUUUAUAGGCUGCAGGUGUAAGCACAGUAAUGUGUUCAGCCGAGCAGUACUAAUCAACCAAAAGUUUUAAUUU
rnacentral:rRNA from 1 species